UCCGGUUUAACACCGGCGGUUUCUCUAGAGUGCCCAACUAAAUGAUGGCAACUAGAGACAAGGGUUGCGCUCGUUAAGGGACUUAACCCGACAUCUCACGAUACGAGCUGACGACAGCCAUGCAGCACCUGUCUCCCGGCCCCCGAAGGGGAAGCCCUAUCUCUAGGGUUGUCCGAGGAUGUCAAAUCCAGGUAAGGUUCUUCGCGUUGCAUCGAAUUAAACCACAUGCUCCACCGCUUGUGCGGGCCCCCGUCAAUUCCUUUGAGUUUUAAUCUUGCGACCGUACUUCCCAGGCGGGGUACUUAAUGCGUUAGCUGCGGCACUGUAGGGGUCAAUUCCUACAACACCUAGUACCCAUCGUUUACAGCGUGGACUAC
rnacentral:misc_RNA from 1 species